AUUGAACGCUGGCGGCAGGCUUAACACAGCAAGUCGAGCGGGGUGAUGGUGCUUGCACUAUCACUUAGCGGCGGACGGGUGAGUAAUGCUUAGGAUCUGCCUAUUAGUGGGGGACAACAUCUCGAAAGGGAUGCUAAUACCGCAUACGUCCUACGGGAGAAAGCAGGGGAUCACUUGUGACCUUGCGCUAAUAGAUGAGCCUAAGUCGGAUUAGCUAGUUGGUGGGGUAAAGGCCUACCAAGGCGACGAUCUGUAGCGGGUCUGAGAGGAUGAUCCGCGACACGGGGACGGAAACACGGCCCAGACUCCUACGGGAGGCAGCAGUGGGGAAUAUUGGACAAUGGGGGGAACCCUGAUCCAGCCAUGCCGCGUGUGUGAAGAAGGCCUUAUGGUUGUAAAGCACUUUAAGCGAGGAGGAGGCUCUUUUGGUUAAUACCCAAGAUGAGUGGACGUUACUCGCAGAAUAAGCACCGGCUAACUCUGUGCCAGCAGCCGCCGUAAUAC
rnacentral:rRNA from 1 species